CCUACGGGAGGCAGCAGUGGGGAAUAUUGGGCAAUGGGCGCAAGCCUGACCCAGCAACGCCGCGUGAAGGAAGAAGGCCCUCGGGUUGUAAACUUCUUUUGUCAGGGACGAAACAAAUGACGGUACCUGACGAAUAAGCCACGGCUAAAUACGUGCCAGCAGCCGCGUUAAUACGUAGGUGGCAAGCGUUAUCCGGAUUUACUGGGUGUAAAGGGCGUGUAGGCGGGGGAGCAAGUCAGAUGGGAAAUUCCAGGGCUCAACCCUGGAACUGCAUUUGAAACUGUUUUUCGUGAGUGAUGGAGAGGCAGGCGGAAUUCCGUGGGUAGCGGUGAAAGGCGUAGAUAUACGGAGGAACACCAGUGGCGAAGGCGGCCUGCUGGACAUUAACUGACGCGGAGGCGCGAAAGCGUGGGGAGCAAACAGGAUUAGAUACCCUAGUAGUC
rnacentral:rRNA from 1 species